GAGCGAGAGAGGGAGGAAAGGGGGGUGGAUAACGGACACGCGUCGGUCCGACCGCCACACUUUACCUCACAAAACAAUAAAAUAUAUAUAAACCCGGCGAUACUCACGGGGAAAAAAAGCCUCGAGCUGUAUUUAAGACGACGGGUGGCAGUCGGUGCGGCCGGAAACUGGGCGGGGGUUGGUGUGCUGAUGGGGAGUGGACAUUAAAGCCGCUGCUGUUGAGGAGGAAGACCAGCAGCCCGGCCUUUUAAAACUCUUGGAUUUCCCACACCUUCCCCCCCCCCCCCCUCUAGUUUUUUAAUUUUAUCUUUUUAACCAGUGCACUGGCUGAGGUAGUAGUUUGUGUUGUUGGAAGGGUCUGUGACACUGCCCAGUAUGGAGAUAACUGCGCAAGCUACUGCCUUGCUAGUGCUGGUGACUAACAUCAUUGCAACAUUCCCCCCUCUUUCUCUCUCCCUCCCUCUCCCCCCCCCCCCCCGCAAAGUAUUUAAUCUAAUUUCUAUUUGGGAAUCUUGCAAAUGUCAUCUAAUUGUAUUGUGGGUUGCUUUUAAAAUGCACGUGAUUGAGUUUUAUUUUGCACUGGUUGUUCAUAGGCCUUUGCUUGACCCCCAUGUUACAUAAACUCCAGUCAUGAGAUGACUUGGGUUAUUUGAUUUCCUUAAUGGAGCAUGAAGUACAAAAAAAUAGGAAUCUUGCUCCUUUGUUUUAUUUAACCUGCUUAGAGAUGUUCUUUAAAUUGAUCUUGUAUAAAAGAUUUUCCUUAAUUUAAGGGCACAUGCAGUGAGUGAAUUUCUUCAUUUUGAAGCUUAUUUUAUGUAAUGGGGACUGAACAAAAGAUCUACUCUGUUUAGAUUGCUUCCCUUCUCCCUAGAACUUCUAAUCAAUGCUUGUUUCUUGCAAUGCAGUAACAAAAUUAUUGCAAACCUGAGGGAGGCUAGGAGCCAAAUUAUAUGGCAAUUAUUUAUAGGAUGUGAUAAGUUUACUUUUGACUUGGUCUGUACAGACUGCAAAAGCACUCUGCUGUUCAUAUCUGGAAUUGAUGUCACUUGUAUAAAUUGACACACUGUAUUACCAUUUCUUCUAAUUAAAGCAGUUUAAAUAGCAA